rnacentral:rRNA from 1 species
UACGAAGGGGGCUAGCGUUGCUCGGAAUCACUGGGCGUAAAGGGUGCGUAGGCGGCUUUUUAAGUUUGGUGUGAAAUCUCCCGGCUCAACUGGGAGGGUGCGCCGAAUACUGAGAGGCUAGAGUGUGGGAGAGGAAAGUGGAAUUCCUGGUGUAGCGGUGAAAUGCGUAGAUAUCAGGAGGAACACCUGUGGUGUAGACGCUUUCUGGACCGUAGCUGACGCUGAGACACGAAAGCGUGGGUAGCAAACAGG